UACGUAGGGUGCAAGCGUUAAUCGGAAUUACUGGGCGUAAAGCGCACGUAGGCGGCUACUCAAGUCGGGGGUGAAAGCCCGGGGCUCAACCCCGGAACUGCCCUCGAAACUAGGUGGCUAGAAUCUUGGAGAGGUCAGUGGAAUUCCGAGUGUAGAGGUGAAAUUCGUAGAUAUUCGGAAGAACACCAGUGGCGAAGGCGACUGACUGGACAAGUAUUGACGCUGAGGUGCGGAAGCGUGGGGAGCAAACAGG
rnacentral:rRNA from 1 species